UGGGCCCAGAGGUGGGCGGAUAUGAAUCUCGGAUUGGAUCAACCCGACCCAAUGCCUUAACAUGAAGGGAGGAUACUAGCGAACCCUAAUUCGGCCGCUACAUCUUCUUCCUGCAGAGAUAACAUUUUCUUCAACUAUGACUUGGUUCAACGUAGCAGCAGUAAAAAAAAAGCGUUCCAUUUUUUCUCACCAACAUUUGUUACCACUUAAACUACUCUUUCUCGUUGCACUCAUCCAUAAACCCCCUCUCUCGCCGUUCUCGCGCAAACUCUCUCUCUCUCUCUCUCGAUUCUCGCUUAAACUCUCUCUCUCUCUCUCUCUCCAUUCUCGCUCAAAUCUGGUUGUGAAGAGACAACAAUCAAGCAAACAACAAGAAACGACAACCGAAAAUAUCAUACAGUAAGUAAAGAUAAGUACCUACCUUGGAUCCAAACGCGAUUUGAGAAAACUAAAGCUGACUUCAGGUGUAUACAGGACAAAACUUAUGCCCAAAGAAUCAAAGGUGUUGCUGUGGUCUUUUUGAAUUGCAGUAACCUACUUGAAUUACUGUAAAAAAAAUGCAAUUUUAUCAUAUUUUUUUGAAAUACUUUUUGUUAGAUUGGUUUUUGUAAAUAAAUUUGUAUAAUGUUACUGUAAAAAAAUUUACAUCUUUUUGUA